rfam:Porphyromonas sp. COT-108_OH1349 contig_31, whole genome shotgun sequence.
GCCUAUGUAGCUCAGGGGUAGAGCACUUCCUUGGUAAGGAAGAGGUCCCGGGUUCAAAUCCCGGCAUCGGCU